rnacentral:rRNA from 1 species
ACACCUGUUUCCAUUCCGAAUACAGAAGUUAAGCUUCAAAACGCCGAUAGUAGUUGGAGGAACGCCUCCUGUGAGGGUAGGAAGUUGCCGUGC